UUAUGACUGCUUAUUGCACCACAUGUGUUUUUCUUUGAAACAAACUUGCUUUGGCGGUGGGCCCAGCCUGCCGCCAGAGGUCUAAACUUACAACCAAUUUUUUAUUAACUUGUCACACCAGAUUAUUACUAAAUAGUCAAAACUUUCAACAACGGAUCUCUUGGUUCUCGCAUCGAUGAAGAACGCAGCGAAAUGCGAUACGUAAUAUGAAUUGCAGAUAUUCGUGAAUCAUCGAAUCUUUGAACGCACAUUGCGCCCUCUGGUAUUCCGGAGGGCAUGCCUGUUUGAGCGUCGUUUCUCCCUCAAACCGCUGGGUUUGGUGUUGAGCAAUACGACUUGGGUUUGCUUGAAAGACGGUAGUGGUAAGGCGGGAUCGCUUUGACAAUGGCUUAGGUCUAACCAAAAACAUUGCUUGCGGCGGUAACGUCUACCACGUAUAUCUUCAAACUUUGACCUCAAAUCAGGUAGGACUACCCGCUGAACUUAAGCAUAUCAAAAGCCGGAGGAA
rnacentral:rRNA from 1 species